GCCCGCUUGGCACAGCGGUAAUGCGCCUCACUAGUACCUACACUAUACAGUGUUCCUACUGAGGAAGCUAUGAGGAGAUGACUGGUUCGACUCCAGUAGUGGGCA